rnacentral:rRNA from 1 species
ACGGGAGGCAGCAGUGGGGAAUAUUGCACAAUGGGCGAAAGCCUGAUGCAGCAACGCCGCGUGAAGGAAGAAGGCUUUCGGGUCGUAAACUUCUGUCCUAGGGGAAGAUAAUGACGCAACCCUUGGAGGAAGCCCCGGCUAACUACGUGCCAGCAGCCGCGGUAAUACGUAGGGGGCAAGCGUUAUCCGGAAUUAUUGGGCGUAAAGAGUGCGUAGGUGGUAACUUAAGCGCGGGGUUUAAGGCAAUGGCUUAACCAUUGUUCGCCCCGCGAACUGGGAUACUUGAGUGCAGGAGAGGAAAGCGGAAUUCCUAGUGUAGCGGUGAAAUGCGUAGAUAUUAGGAGGAACACCAGUGGCGAAGGCGGCUUUCUGGACUGAAACUGACACUGAGGCACGAAAGUGUGGGGAGCAAACAGGAUUAGAUACCCUGGUA